rnacentral:rRNA from 1 species
CAGUCGCCGCGGUAAAACGGAGGGCGCGAGCGUUACCCGGAUUUACUGGGCGUAAAGGGCGUGUAGGCGGCCUGGGGCGUCCCAUGUGAAAGGCCACGGCUCAACCGUGGAGGAGCGUGGGAUACGCUCAGGCUAGAGGGUGAGAGAGGGUGGUGGAAUUCCCGGAGUAGCGGUGAAAUGCGCAGAUACCGGGAGGAACGCCGAUGGCGAAGGCAGCCACCUGGUCCACUUCUGACGCUGAGGCGCGAAAGCGUGGGGAGCAAACCGGAUUAGAUACCCGUGUAGUCCCUGUCUCUUAUAA